CUCGAAGGAAGGAGUGGAUGGCAAGAAAUACAGAGAAAGCAAUGCAUAGCACAGCAAGCAAAGCAAGGCAAAAUAGCAGCCAAAGCCACGAGAAUCAAGAAGUCAGUGAAGAGCAGGAAAGGAAUGGAGGAAUCUGGCCAGAGCUGUGCCCCUGCUUGCCACAGGAGCUGCGCGGGAGGAGAAGAACGUGGGCCAAAAGGUAAGAGGAGCUCCUUUGGGUUCUGGGCUUGAAGCAAAGCUGAGAAGCCAUGCCCGGGAGGAGGUGUGGGUAGCUACAGGCCACCUUGCUAUCUCCCCAAGAGAUGAGGUGUGUGGGCUAGGCACCGGGCAGGAGUGCUGGCCAGAAGCAAGCAUCUCUGUGGAGGAAGGCAAAGGGCGGAGGAGGUUCAAGGGUAGCUACCGGGCAUGGCCUUGCUCAGCAAGGGGAGGAAAAGCCUGAAGGGCACGAGAAGGGGAUAGAGAAGGGCAGGCAGUAGGCGUGAAGCUGCGAGCAGAGUAGAGAGCAACUUGGCAGAGCAGCAAGCAGAGUAGGCAAGUGUGAGGUUUGGCGUGAGUAGCAGCAAAAGCCCAGAGCAUCAAGAAGCAGGAAGUGAGGAGAAGGUAAGUGAAGGGCAGGCAAGGUAAGGGAGGCAAAGGCAAGGGGAAAGGGGGGGGUAAGGGAGAAAGAAGGGAUGGGGAUGGGGAGGGGAUGGGUGAAGAGCAGAGGCGGAGGGAAGGGCUGAGGGGAGGGCUGAAGGCAAACCUAUGAUGAAAAAAAGAAAAGAAAAAUAAAGAACAAAAAAAUAUGAAAAAAGAGAAAAAAAGAAAAGAAAAAUAAGAAAAAGAGAAAAAAUGAAAAGAAAAAAGAAAAAAAAUGAACAAAAAAGGAGUAAAAAGAGGAAAAAAAAAAAUGAAAAAAAGAGAAAAAAGAGAAAAGAAAAAAAAAAUGAACAAAAA
rnacentral:lncRNA from 7 species